CAGUCUCAGUUCGGAUUGAAGGCUGAAAUUCGCCUUCCAUGAAGCCGGAAUUGCUAGUAAUGGCAGGUCAGCAUACUGCCGUGAAUACGUUCCCGGGCCCUUGUACACACCGCCCGUCACACCAUGAGAGUUGGGAAUACCCGAAGCCUGUGAGCUAACUUUUAGAGGCAGCAGUCGAAGGUAGAAUCAAUGAUUGGGGUGAAGUCGUAACAAGGUAAC
rnacentral:rRNA from 1 species